GGUUAACGCUGGCGGUGUGUCUAAUACAUGCAAGUCGAACGCAACUUCGGUUGAGUGGCGGACGAGCGAGUAACACGUUGGAACCUACCUCGAACUCAGGGAUAACAUCUAGAAAUAGGUGCUAAUACCGGAUAGUCCCGCAAGGGUAAAGAUUUAUCGGUUUGAGAGGGGCCUGCGUAAUAUCAGCUAGUUGGUAAGGUAAUGGCUUACCAAGGCCAUGACGUUUAACUGGUCUGAGAGGAUGAUCAGUCGCGAUGGGACUGAGACACGGCCCAU
rnacentral:rRNA from 1 species